AAGUGCUAUAAACAUUUUUGUGUAAAUCAUUUUGUGGACAUAUGUUUGAAUUUCUCUUGGAUAAAUACUUAAGAAUUACUGAGUCAUAGAGUGGGUAGUUGUUCGGUUCUAUAAGAAUCUGCCAGACUUUUUUCCCCCACAGUGUUUAUACUAUUGUACAUUCCAACCAUUCAUAUAUGAGAAGGGAGAAACCUUUAGCUACUUCCAAAGAGGCUUUUCUACAUAUGUGUAAAUUUUUCCAACUGGAGACAGGCUGAUGACUUCAGGGACAUGAGCAUGGGAUACAGGACACCUGUCAUCACCACCACCAUCAAGUUGGGAUUCAGGAAGGAGGUUAAUCAUAUAAGAAAUCCUGUGACCAGCAUGAGCUCCUGUCAGACCACACAAGGCACUCGACCCUUGAAGAUAAGGAUGGUCAAACAAAAUAAUAUCAUACCUGGAGAAACUCAGAUCUUGGUAAGAUUUACUAGUUGGGAAUCCAAUGUUAAUGCCAAGAAGCAGCCGCCAGUUGGGAUCAAAUGUGAGCCUAUGGAUCAAGGAAUGCCUGGACACAGUAGACAAAGGUGGUUCAACCGGACGCGUUAGGACACAUGCUUCCAAAAACAAAGUAGCCGGAAAGAAACCAAAAUAACAGACCAUCAGAGCCAAAGGAACAUUUGGAGGUAAUUCAGUACCUCCUCCUUUUCAACCUACAGGGGAGAUGGUGGAACAGAAGCAGGGAUGGGCCUGCCUGCUGUGCCCACAAUUCAUUGGAGAUUGUUGUGGUGAAGAAUUUCAUUUAUGACGAAGGAGAAAUAAACUCCCAUCAGCUUAAAUUCAGGCAGGUUUAUUGAAAAGCUGAAGAAACAUCUUGCAGAAGCAAAGCAUGGCUGAGGCUUGUGGGCUCUGUCUGAGAAAAUGAGCAGCCAACAGUGGCUGAUGCUGCCUCUGACUCUGGGGCCUUGUGGUCUGUUGUUCCCUGUGAACAUCUCUUCUCUUCUCUUGCAUCUUCCCUCAGCCUGGCAGUCUCUGUAUACUCUUCAACACAUAAUUGAGCAAGGCUAUGCCAGCCCCAGUGCCACCCAGCACUUUAGGUCAAAUUAGAAAGGCAUGAAAUAAACUGGCCUGUUAUAAUACAGCUGUUGAAAUAACAGUUGAAAAUACAAUAUCUUGACUCCUGGUUGAGUGCUUUAUGCUGAACUUUCUUUUCUGAAGAGAGCACAGACUUUGGGAUAUCAGAAUACAUUAUGUUUCUUGGUUAUUUGGGGUUUAUGGUGUUCAUGAAGCUUUGAAAGCUUUCAUCCAGUAUGUUUUAAAUAUUUUUCUAUCCCUCUUACCCACUCCGUUCCCUUCAGGGAUUCCAUUUAGUAGAGUGUUUAAAGUUUUCCCACUGAUGGGCUUUUUAUUUCUUAAAUUCAUUUUUUCCUGUGUGUUUCAUUUGUGUUCGUU
rnacentral:lncRNA from 1 species